rnacentral:rRNA from 1 species
UAUCCAUUGGAGGGCAAGUCUGGUGCCAGCAGCUGCGGUAAUACCAGCUCCGAUAGCGUAUAUUAAAGUUGUUGCAGUUAAAAAGCUCGUAGUUGGACUUGUGUGCGCUGUCCGCGGGUGGCCUGCGCCCAAAAGGGCGUUUCGGUUCGGCCCCGGUGGCGCCUCGAAAUCUGCAGCUGGGGGGACGUUGGCCUUAACUGGUCGGCGACCGCACGCCGGCUGCUCGGUUACUGUGAGAAAAUUAGAGUGUUCAAGGCAGGCAUUGGGUGCAAUUGAAUACAUUAGCAUGGAAUAAUAAAAUAUGGCUCCUGCCGUAUUUUGUUGGUUUUGACUGGUGGGAGUAAUGAUUGAUAGGGACGGUUGGGGGUGCUAGUAUUGAGCGGCCAGAGGUGAAAUUCAUGGAUUCGCUCAAGACUAACUUAUGCGAAAGCAUUCACCAAGGACGUCCUCUUUAAUCAAGAACGAAAGUUGGGGGAUCGAAGACGAUCAGAUACCGUCGUAGUCUCAACCAUAAACUAUGUCGACUUGGGAUCGGCGGUAGUUUUUUCAUUAAGACACUGUCGGGACCACGGGAGAAAUCAAAGUGUCUGGACUCUGGGGGAAGUAUGGUCGCAAGGCUGAAACUUGAAGGAAUUGACGGAAGGGCACCACCAGGAGUGGAGCCUGCGGCUUAAUUUGACUCAACACGGGGAAACUUACCAGGUCCAGAGAUGUAGAGGAUUGACAGAUUGAAGCUCUUUCUUGAUCACUUCGGUGGUGGUGCAUGGCCGUUCUUAGUUGGUGGAGUGAUUUGUCUGGUUAAUUCCGUUAACGAACGAGACCUCAGCCUGCUAGUGUAGUCGGCUGGAUUGCCUUUGGCGAUCCGUGAUUUCGACUUCUUAGAGGGACAAUCGACGCGCAGUCGAUGGAAGUUUGAGGCAAUAACAGGUCUGUGAUGCCCUUAGAUGUUCUGGGCCGCACGCGCGCUACACUGCUGGGCUCAGCGAGUUUUACUUGGCCGAGAGGCCCGGUUAAUCUUGUGAAAUCCCAGCGUGCUUGGGCUCGCCUCCUGCAACUGGAGGCGCCAACGAGGAAUUCCUAGUAGACGCAGGUCAUCAACCUGCAUCGAUUACGUCCCUGCCCUUGUACACACCGCCCGUCGUUCCAUAAGAGUGAGGCAUCCGGUGAAUUCUCGGGAGAGCCUGGGCGUGGCCAGCAAUGGUCUGCUCGGGUUUGAACUUGCAUAAACUUGGUGCCUAUGAUUAGGG